rnacentral:rRNA from 1 species
UACGUAGGGUGCAAGCGUUGUCCGGAAUUAUUGGGCGUAAAGAGCUCGUAGGCGGUUUGUCGCGUCUGCUGUGAAAAUCCAGGGCUUAACCCUGGACCUGCAGUGGGUACGGGCAGACUGGAGUGCGGUAGGGGAGAUCGGAAUUCCUGGUGUAGCGGUGAAAUGCGCAGAUAUCAGGAGGAACACCGGUGGCGAAGGCGGAUCUCUGGCCCGGUACUGACGCUGAGGUGCGAAAGCGUGGGGAGCAAACAGG